AUAUCAAUAAGCGGAGGAAAAGAAACCAACAGGGAUUACCUCAGUAACGGCGAGUGAAGCGGUAACAGCUCAAAUUUGAAAUCUGGCCCUCUCAGGGUCCGAGUUGUAAUUUGUAGAAGAUGCUUUGGGUGUGGCACCGGUCUAAGUUCCUUGGAACAGGUCGUCAUAGAGGGUGAGAAUCCCGUAUGCGACUGGCUGCCUUCGCCCGUGUAAAGCUCUUUCGACGAGUCGAGUUGUUUGGGAAUGCAGCUCUAAAUGGGUGGUAAAUUUCAUCUAAAGCUAAAUAUAUGCCAGAGACCGAUAGCGCACAAGUAGAGUGAUCGAAAGAUGAAAAGCACUUUGGAAAGAGAGUUAAACAGUACGUGAAAUUGUUGAAAGGGAAGCGCUUGCGACCAGACUCGGGCGCCGUUGAUCAACCUAGGUUCUCCUGGGGGCACUCGGCGGUGUUCGGGCCAGCAUCGGUUCUGGUGGCUGGAUAAAGGCCUUGGGAAUGUAGCUUCUUUCGGGGAGUGUUAUAGCCCUCGGUGCAAUGCAGCCUACCGGGACCGAGGACCGCGCUUCGGCUAGGAUGCUGGCGUAAUGGUUGUAAGCGACCCGUCUUGAAACACGGACCAAGGAGUCUAACAUCUAUGCGAGUGUUUGGGUGUCAAACCCAUACGCGAAAUGAAAGUGAACGUAGGUGAGAACCCGUUAGGGUGCAUCAUCGACCGAUCCUGAUGUCUUCGGAUGGAUUUGAGUAAGAGCAUAGCUGUUGGGACCCGAAAGAUGGUGAACUAUGCCUAAAUAGGGUGAAGCCAGAGGAAACUCUGGUGGAGGCUCGCAGCGGUUCUGACGUGCAAAUCGAUCGUCAAAUUUGGGUAUAGGGGCGAAAGACUAAUCGAACCAUCUAGUAGCUGGUUCCUGC
rnacentral:rRNA from 1 species